UACAGAGGUCCCAAGCGUUGUUCGGAUUCAUUGGGCGUAAAGGGUGCGUAGGUGGCGCCGUAAGUGGGGUGUGAAAUUUCGGAGCUUAACUCCGAAACUGCAUUCCAUACUGCGGUGCUUGAGGACUGGAGAGGAGACUGGAAUUUACGGUGUAGCAGUGAAAUGCGUAGAGAUCGUAAGGAAGACCAGUGGCGAAGGCGGGUCUCUGGACAGUUCCUGACACUGAGGCACGAAGGCCAGGGAGCAAACGGG
rnacentral:rRNA from 1 species